CCUACGGGAGGCAGCAGUAGGGAAUCUUCCACAAUGGGCGAAAGCCUGAUGGAGCAACGCCGCGUGGGUGAAGAAGGUCUUCGGAUCGUAAAACCCUGUUGUUAGAGAAGAAAGUGCGUGAGAGUAACUGUUCACGUGUCGACGGUAUCUAACCAGAAAGCCACGGCUAACUACGUGCCAGCAGCCGCGGUAAUACGUAGGUGACAAGCGUUAUCCGGAUUUAUUGGGCGUAAAGGGAACGCAGGCGGGCUUUUAAGUGUGAUGUGAAAGCCUUCGGCUUAACCGGAGUAGUGCAUUGGAAACUGGGAGACUUGAGUGCAGAAGAGGAGAGUGGAACUCCAUGUGUAGCGGUGAAAUGCGUAGAUAUAUGGAAGAACACCAGUGGCGAAGGCGGCUCUCUGGUCUGUAACUGACGCUGAGGUUCGAAAGCGUGGGUAGCAAACAGGAUUAGUUACCCUUGUAGUC
rnacentral:rRNA from 1 species